UUUCCGGGGGGGGGGGGGGCCGGGGGGGGGGGGGGGGGGGGAGCAGGGAGAAACGAGCGCCCCCUGGAGGGGCCCCAACAAGCCCGAGCCCCUCCUCUCUUGACACGGGCUUGGGAGGGAGCAGAUGGGUUUGUCCGGGGCAGCCCUGCCCAGAGGUUGGUGCUGGCGGCCACUUCCUUCUCCCAUAAUCACGACAGAGCGUGUCCAGAGCGCACAGUGCAGAAGCUGUGCAAACGCCUCCCUGGAAACCACGCGUGGAAAGGACCAGAAGCCACUCAGGAGGAUGCUUGAGUGCAGCACCCGGACGCCUCAGCUGCGGACGCUCAAGUGCGGCAAUUUGGGAGCUGCUGAGGAUGAAGCGGCGAGUGAGUCGAUUAAAGCGCUUCCUCCCACGCGGACUGACCCCAUGGUAAGGAGCCUGUCUCUGGAGCCUCAGAGCCGCAUUUGAUUCUAGCUCUGCCAUGUGUGCAGGCUGUGGGCCUUGAGCAAGUUGAUAAACCCAGGCCCCUCGUCAUGACCGCAUCACCCCAGCCGUGCUGUUAGUCACGUGGAUUACAGUGGGACCCUGCGGGCUGGAGGUGGGUUGAUGCCCUCGCGAUGACAGUCCCAGCAUAUCAACCCCGACCCCCGCUGGGAGCUGUUCCUGAGCUACAGCUGCUCAUGAACCUACACUGACCCAAGCAGACUAGAGAGAGGUUCAUUUUCGAGGCUUGGAGAGGAGGUUCUCCCGCUCCUGCUGGAUGUGAGAGAGAAGGGUUUUGCGCUCCAGGAUGGCCACGCAGGGACCCGGAUGCAUAGCUCUCUUGUGAACCACAGGAGAACCACCCCCAGCCCGAUGCUGCCACAGGGGUACAGAUCAGCCACAUCCACUGAUAAUCCUGAAGCCCGAGUGGCUUCAAACGACCCUUGCAUCAUUUUCACUCACACUACGUGACCCACCUACAGCCCGAGGAGCACCUGCUGGGCAUUGUCACUCCUCAGCCCAGGCAGAGGGAGGCCCCAUUUCCACACUGGCUUCCCCAGUCAUCAGAGCAGAGGAAAGGGCAUAGAAAGACCACGCCUCAACACAACCUUCCAGAAGUGACCAGGCCGUUCUGUUUACGCUUCGUUCCCCAGAGCACGUCCUGGGGGGGGUGGGGAGGCGGGGGGCACUGGAAGCCCACGCUGUGCUGGGAAGAUAGGGGGCCUAGAGGGGUUUGGUGAACACAGAGUGGGGAGGCAGAGGGAACCUACAGCAUUGCUCAGCUGUCAUCUCCCACGCCUGGCCCUGCCUCUGGACCCGCAAUGACAGGAAAUAAUAAUGCUUUUGCUGCUUCUUUGAGCUGCACGCUUGUGUGUGCCAGGCUGAUCCAGCAACGUCUCCCCUUUCCUUCCUGACGCUAGGAUUUUGCAUCGUCUCUCUUGGAGUCUUGCACAGUCUCACUCAAGGUUUGUCAAUUUCGUUGAUCUUUUCAAAGAAUGAACUUCUGGUCUGGGGGACGCUUUCUGUUGGCUUUUGACUCUGGAUGCCAUUCGUUUCUGCUCUCUUCUUCGGUACGUCUUCCCUUCUGCUUGCUUUGCUUUUAAGUCCCUUCGCUUAGCUGUUUGUUACCUACGGCUGCAGGCAAGGCUCCCUGGUCUCGGACCUCGUGCCCGCGGGUAAGUGGCGUACUUGCGUGGCAUGCUCACUCAGCGCUGGGCACCAAGCAUGGCAGCUGCGCGCUGACAUCUCACGGUGGACAGUGAUACCUAGGGAAGAAGGAACUGUGACUGACUCCAUUUUACAGUGGAGGCGGCUGUGUUUGCCAAAGUCCCAGAGCUCAUGGGGGGACAGCUGGCAUUCCAACUUGGAUGGAAGUCCGGGCUCAGCGCUGAGAUCUCAUGCCUCGCGGGCCUUUGUCAGGGGAGGAGCGUCCCUGGGCAAUGACAGCUUCCCCUGUGGAGGGGGGCACGCGUUGGGGCAGGCCCACUGCUGCUGAGCCACCGGCAGUGCUGGCUAACCCAUCAUUAUGUCACUUCCCCAGGAGCGGCUGCUGGUUCUUCAGGUCACGGUUGCACUAAAGAAACAAUUUUCCUCUUAGAACUGCCUUGCCUCUGCUGCUCUUAUUUCUGCCUGACAAACAGCAUGGAGAGAUGGGGCUGCCCAGCGGAACGUGACUUGGCAUCACGCAUCUGUGUGGGGUGGGUGUUCCUUCCUGAGGAAGAUGCUUGGAUACAAGGAACACUCUUGUCUUUGCAGAGUGUCGGGAAGUGGGCUGCGUGUCUGCUGUCUGGACUGGCGUGAGGCUCUUACAGGACCCACUGUCACCUCACACCGGGCUUGACCCAGGCUGGUAAAGGCCGUCUCUGAUGUGUGAUGGAGUCCAGCCCCUCGCGUCCUGAAAGCGCCGUCUCAUAUCGCUGAAUUUCCCAAAUUGUCUCGAAAAUUCCAGCACCACCUCAUUGCUUUUAGCACAUUAAUGAAAUGGUGGGGAAGCCCUGGGGGCUUUUCUAACUCUUAAUUAAUCAUAGUUGUCACUUAGGAGGGGGCCAAGGCUUUCCCAUCAAAGCAAGGUCCCCAUUUCCAUGCCAACCUGGUGGGUCGUGUUUGCUCAGCGUGCACGUGUUCCCAUGAUGCCUCCAAAGAGCACAAGGGGGAGGGGGGAGCGAUGAUUAGGAGUUUGGGAUUAGCAAAUGCAAACUAUUCUAUUUAGGAUGAAAGUGAACCACAAGGUCCUUCUACGGAGCACAGGGAACCUUAUUCAAUACCCUGUGAUAAACCAUAAUGGAAAAGAAUAUGAAAAAGAAUAAAUAUAUAAGGAGAUAUAUAUAUAUAUGUGUGUGUGUGUGUGAAUCACUUUGCUAUAGGGCAGAAAUUAAUACAGCAUUGAAGUCAACCAUGUUUCAAUAAAAUGAAUUCUUUAAAAAAAGAGCACAAGCGAUGAAGCAUAAGUUAAUGUUUCUGAGCCCCAGAGGGACCCCCAGCCCAGGCCCUCCUGCUACACCCCUGCCCUGUAUUGUGGCGAAUAGGGACUUGUGUCCUUGCACAGAAAGGACAGCGGUUCUGGAAGGUUCAGCCAUCUCCACUCUCCUCGCCGCGCAAGGAAAGACCACAGGGAGAGGCAGGUGCUUUGAGCUGAAGGUUCAGUGGACCCAUAGUUUUCCCGGCUUAGAGCGUGGGAAACUCUCCGGUGGCUUAUCUCCUGUGACCUUGGGCGUUUGAGUGUGUGUGUGUGUGUGUGCGUGCAUACACGCAGGCGUGCAAGGUGCUUUAGAAACUGCUGCUAACAGCCGUUAAAACAGAAAGGUCAUUUGUCGAGUGCCUGUUUGUUAUUUCUCGGGGCACCAGACACUUUCUCUGUAUUAUUAGACAGGAUUAUAUCCACUUGACAGGAGAGGAAGCUGAGCCGAGGCCCAGCCCUUCAAUCCACAUCUAACUGGCUUCAAGUUGGACCCUCUGCUCUUCGCCGCCCCCAGCUGUUUGCAGGAGGUGAUACAGAUGUGCUAAACCCAGGGGGAUUCCAGCUCCCUCCCCUCCCCCAGGGACAUGGGAGGCGGCCUUUUAUCAGUAGCAGCUCAAAGUGUAGAAGAGAC
rnacentral:lncRNA from 1 species